GAUCAGGCUGCUGGUGAGGUAAUGGCCCACCAAACCUGUAACCGGUACGGGCUCUGAGAGGAGGAGCCCGGAGAUGGGCACUGAGACAAGGGCCCAGGCCCUAUGGGGCGCAGCAGGCGCGAAACCUCUGCAAUAGGCGAAAGCUUGACAGGGUUACUCUAAGUGAUUUCCGUUAAGGAGAUCUUUUGGCACCUCUAAAAAUGGUGCAGAAUAAGGGGUGGGCAAGUCUGGUGUCAGCCGCCGCGGUAAUACCAGCACCCCGAGUGGUCGGGACGUUUAUUGGGCCUAAAGCAUCCGUAGCCGGUUCUACAAGUCUUCCGUUAAAUCCACCUGCUUAACAGAUGGGCUGCGGAAGAUACUAUAGAACUAGGAGGCGGGAGAGGCAAGCGGUACUCGAUGGGUAGGGGUAAAAUCCGUUGAUCCAUUGAAGACCACCAGUGGCGAAGGCGGCUUGCCAGAACGCGCUCGACGGUGAGGGAUGAAAGCUGGGGGAGCAAACCGGAUUAGAUACCCGGGUAGUCCCAGCUGUAAACGAUGCAGACUCGGUGAU
rnacentral:rRNA from 1 species